UUACGGGAGGCAGCAGUGGGGAAUUUUGGACAAUGGGCGAAAGCCUGAUCCAGCCAUUCCGCGUGCAGGAUGAAGGCCCUCGGGUUGUAAACUGCUUUUGGACGGAACGAAAAGCCUUUUUCUAAUACAGGAAGGUCAUGACGGUACCGUCAGAAUAAGCACCGGCUAACUACGUGCCAGCAGCCGCGGUAAUACGUAGGGUGCAAGCGUUAAUCGGAAUUACUGGGCGUAAAGCGUGCGCAGGCGGUUAUGUAAGACAGAUGUGAAAUCCCCGGGCUCAACCUGGGAACUGCAUUUGUGACUGCAUAGCUAGAGUACGGUAGAGGGGGAUGGAAUUCCGCGUGUAGCAGUGAAAUGCGUAGAUAUGCGGAGGAACACCGAUGGCGAAGGCAAUCCCCUGGACCUGUACUGACGCUCAUGCACGAAAGCGUGGGGAGCAAACAGGAUUAGAAACCCCUGUAGUCCC
rnacentral:rRNA from 1 species